ensembl:snRNA U6 U6 spliceosomal RNA
GUGCUCAAUUUUGCAGCACAUAUACUCAAACUGGAGCGAUACAGAGAAGAUUGGUAUGGCCCAUACACAAGGAUGACAUGCAUAUUUGCGAAGCCUUUCAUAUUUUU